rnacentral:ribozyme from 1 species
GCUGCUCAAGUAUGCUACCUCUCCGUGGGGAGCAGCAGGCAACGGAUUUUCCGGAGCUAAAUUAUACAA